UACGUAGGGGGCAAGCGUUGUCCGGAUUUAUUGGGCGUAAAGAGCGUGUAGGCGGCCCGACAGGUCCGUUGUGAAAACUCGAGGCUCAACCUCGAGACGUCGAUGGAAACCGUCGGGCUAGAGUCCGGAAGAGGAGAGUGGAAUUCCCGGUGUAGCGGUGAAAUGCGUAGAGAUCGGGAGGAACAUCAGUGGCGAAGGCGGCCAUCUGGGACAACACUGACGCUGAAGCACGAAAGCGUGGGGAGCAAACAGG
rnacentral:rRNA from 1 species